GCCCAGGUGGCGGAACUGGUAGACGCACUAGGUUCAGGUCCUAGCGCCGGCAACGGUGUGGAAGUUCGAGUCUUCUCCUGGGUACCA
rnacentral:tRNA from 1 species